AGGUGUGGACGACGAUCGACUUCGGGGAAGAAAACUACAAAAAAAUGUUAGUGGUGAGCUCUGAUCACAGCCGGAACUCCGGUGGGGGAAGAGAGGAUGGGGAGGAGCCUCUAAAAAGGCUUGGCUACGACAGGAAUCCGACUCGGAGUCAGUUUCGAUCUGGUGAGAUCGAGAGGGAGAAGACUUCCGUCGGCAAUCCUCUUUUUCUCCAAACACGUGCGCGGCACGUGCCGUUAUUUUCUUUUGGGCCAAUUUAGCCAGGCCGGUCAAGUGGACCAGGCCUAGCUCGCUUAAAAGGCUGGGUAUCACAAUCAAAUCAGCUAAAUUUCUUUUGCAGUAUAUGUAAGUGAUUGAUGCCCUCAAGGGGAAAUAUAGUGGGGCUGACUUCUGACGUUAUGGCCUGAGAGACUCUCCGCCCAGGCCCAGUUUGCUUAAAGGGCCGGGUAUCACAGUCAGCUGAAUUUCUUUUGCGGUGUAUGUGAGUGACUGAUUCUCUCAACGGGAAAUAUAGUGUUGCUAACUUUCGACGUUAUGGCCUGAGAGAGACUCUGCCAUUCUUGUUCUUCUCCUCCUUAAUUCUGGCCUAAUAUUUUCCAAUAAUGGAAGAUUUUGCUUGAUUGAAGUACAUAAUCAAGCAGUCGAUUGGAUUGGAUCUUUUUUCUUCCUCUUUUCUUUACCUUAUCUUCGUGAGAGGAAAGAGUUUUAGGACUUACAAC
rnacentral:lncRNA from 1 species